rnacentral:tRNA from 1 species
GCAGGUGUCCUAUAAAGGUCAGUAUAGGAGAUUUCCAAUCUUCUGGUUAGAGUUCGAGUCUCUAUAUCUGCA